UUCCAGAACAGCUGAGUUAGAUGAUUGCAUGACCUUCUGCAGCCAUCAAGAAGUGCAGAAGGUUGUUUAUCAUCCACAGAUUCAAUCCAGCCGUUGCUCUGCAGUUUGACUGAAAGCUGACUCUAGAGGUCUGCAGCAAAACUGUCAAGAAGUGGCUUCAUUACACGCCAGAACGAGAGGAAGACAUUGCAAGGAAUCAAAGUGAUGCCAACCAGAGUCAAACUGGGGUUACCGCAACUUGUACUGUUUCCCUAAUUCAUACAGUACAAAGCUUAACCUCAUGGAUGCUGUUUUUCCAUGGACAACAGACUGUUGUUCUGACAGUCAAAAAGGAGUCAUAUGUUUAAAGAUCUAUCCCUCUUUUCUUAACUCUUGUGCGUGUGAGGACUGAGGCAAAUGUAGAGGACUGUGGAAAAUGAUACAAGUUUUACGUGUGUGGGGUCGUAAAACUUUUAUGUAACUUGUAUUUAACUCUUGUGUCCACUUCUGGACACAAGGGUUAAAUAAAAUGUUAUAUCAAACUCAUGUUGUCAUUUUUAACCUUUUGUACACAGUUUACCCAUCAUCUGCCAAUAAAAUAGUGUUUAAUACUAGUGAAUUCAAUGUUGUUUCAAUCAUUCUGUGCUAUCUGGGAAGUUUAACGAAUUACACCCUUGUAGUAUACGAAGGGUUUUCCCUCGCUAUUCCCUCUUUCUGUUUGGAUUCUGUUGAAGAUGUGAAGUUUUUUUUCCCUGUGAUUUAAGGAUAAUGAGUGAUGGUUCAAUUACUGUUGUAAAAUAAUGUGUUUUGGAGCAGUUAAGCUUUAUUAGAAGGUGAUGGAACUGUUUUAGCUGAUAUUUAGCUGUUCUCAUGCUACAUGAAACAUUGCUAAAGAAGUUGCUACAUCCAUGCGCUGAAAACAGUGUUGUUCAUGGUUAAACAGGUGCUGUAUAACACUUUGAUGAGAAAAGGACUGUUUUUGACUACUAUCUUUUGCUAUUUGAAUGCAGGAGCAUUAAAACGCCUUCAAAUCA